GAGGAUGUAACUCAGAUGGAUAGGGUGUUUGCUUCCGAGGCAAGUGGUCACAGGUUCGAUCCCUGUCAUCCUCG
rnacentral:tRNA from 3 species